AUAAGUCAGUAUCAAGAAAACUAUCAAAAUAGCAAAUGCCGAACGUACUACGCUAGCCAACAUCAUUUCGCUCCGUGUAUCAACGGCCAAUUCAAAACACGCUCCAACAAAAAGGCCUUUAGCAAAGCGACGACGCAAAAUCAAGGCAACGCCGUAAUGCAAAAGAUCACUCACACAGCGAUACAAUUGAUAGCAGUAGAGCACAGUCAUCCGGUGUGGUCUCGUCAUCGUCAUUCGUAGCCGUCCGUUCGAUCGCGGUAGAAGCGACCACGCGAGUGCAGAAAAGCAAAGUUUAAUCCCAUCGGGAGAAAACUUCCAAGAGGAAAUAAUCACACGAUCUAUAUUUAGAUACGUGCCUAAAGGACGACGAAACGAACCAGCAGAUUAGCCAGCCAGCACCACGUUUAAGCUAACCUCAAAAGGUUCGCUUGGCCGAAUACUCACUCUCCGAACGACUGGAAUUACGGUUUACGGAGGUCAGGAGUCACUCUACACGACGAUUUGCCAUCCGCCACGAGCCACGUUGAUCCACCACACACGAUAGUGGAAUCGCAGGGAGGACGCCAUCUUUCCAUCUGCACCAUAAGGAUUUGGGCAGAGCACGAGGCCUUCCGAAGGAAGGCCUCUUUUUUAUUCGCAGACUGGUCUUCUUCUGCGGACCUUGCAGUUUCCCCUUUUCUGGGUAGAAGUGGCAACUUUCGUCGCACCGAGGAUCCAGUGAGCGGAAUCGAUUGGUAAGACGAAGACACAGUAGAUACGAGAGAGGCUCUCCAACAGGAUCGACAAAGUGGACAUCGUGGACCAAAAGGUGUGCAGACAAACGGCCAAUACGGCAGGAGACGCAUCAAGCGGAAAUCAUUCCGAACACUGCUGGUGUCGGUCGACAAUCUGAAGUGAAGGAGAACCGAGAACAACCCCGUGAGCGGUCGAAAAGUCUAAUAGCUGGUUGGAAGCGGUCAGGAUGAGCGAGGAUUGGUCAGCUGAUGAACCGGGCGUUGGCAAGGAGCAGCAUGGGGGACGCCCCAAGAAGAUAAGUGCUAGUUUAUAAGGAAAACCUUGGCUUUAGCCAGCAUAAUGAUUAGCUCCUAAGAAGAUUCGGUCACUAUUCAGGGAUAAAACCCAAAUAUAUGUAUUAAACUGCGA
rnacentral:lncRNA from 1 species